UGGAUGAUGUGGAUUAAUUCGAUGCAACGCGAAGAACCUUACCUACCCUUGACAUGUCCGGAACUUGCCAGAGAUGGCUUGGUGCCCGAAAGGGAAUCGGAACACAGGUGCUGCAUGGCUGUCGUCAGCUCGUGCCGUGAGAUGUUGGGUUAAGUCCCGCAACGAGCGCAACCCUUAUCAUUAGUUGCUACGCAAGGGCACUCUAAUGAGACUGCCGGUGACAAACCGGAGGAAGGUGGGGAUGACGUCAAGUCCUCAUGGCCCUUAUGGGUAGGGCUUCACACGUCAUACAAUGGUCGGUACAGAGGGUUGCCAAGCCGCGAGGUGGAGCUAAUCCCACAAAACCGAUCGUAGUCCGGAUCGCAGUCUGCAACUCGACUGCGUGAAGUCGGAAUCGCUAGUAAUCGCGAAUCAGAAUGUCGCGGUGAAUACGUUCCCGGGCCUU
rnacentral:rRNA from 1 species